rnacentral:rRNA from 1 species
CUAUCAUGCAGUCGAGCGGAAGAUGGGAGCUUGCUCCCUGAUGUUAGCGGCGGACGGGUGAGUAACACGUGGGUAACCUGCCUGUAAGACUGGGAUAACUCCGGGAAACCGGGGCUAAUACCGGAUGGUUGUUUGAACCGCAUGGUUCAAACAUAAAAGGUGGCUUCGGCUACCACUUACAGAUGGACCCGCGGCGCAUUAGCUAGUUGGUGAGGUAAUGGCUCACCAAGGCAACGAUGCGUAGCCGACCUGAGAGGGUGAUCGGCCACACUGGGACUGAGACACGGCCCAGACUCCUACGGGAGGCAGCAGUAGGGAAUCUUCCGAAAUGGACGAAAGUCUGACGGAGCAACGCCGCGUGAGUGAUGAAGGUUUUCGGAUCGUAAAGCUCUGUUGUUAGGGAAGAACAAGUACCGUUCGAAUAGGGCGGUACCUUGACGGUACCUAACCAGAAAGCCACGGCUAACUACGUGCCAGCAGCCGCGGUAAUACGUAGGUGGCAAGCGUUGUCCGGAAUUAUUGGGCGUAAAGGGCUCGCAGGCGGUUUCUUAAGUCUGAUGUGAAAGCCCCCGGCUCAACCGGGGAGGGUCAUUGGAAACUGGGGAACUUUGGUGCAUAAAAGGAGAGUGGAAUUCCCCGUGUAG